rnacentral:rRNA from 1 species
CAGUAGUCAUAUGCUUGUCUCAAAGACUAAGCCAUGCAUGUCUAAGUUUAAGCGAUUUAAACGGUGAGACUGCGGACGGCUCAUUAUAUCAGUUAUAGUUUAUUUGAUGGUCGAUUACUACAAGGAUAACCGUAGGAAUUCUAGAGCUAAUACUUGCACUUCAAGGUGAUUUAAUCAUCACCUGCACUUAUUAGAUUUACCACCAAUGCUCUUCGGAGCUUCGGUGAUUCAUAGUAAUUUAGCGGAUCGCUACGACUUCGGUCGCGACGCUUCAUUCAAAUUUCUGCCCUAUCAGCUUUCGAUGGUAGUGUAUUGGACUACCAUGGCUUUGACGGGUAACGGAGAAUUAGGGUUCGAUUCCGGAGAGGGAGCCUGAGAAACGGCUACCACAUCUAAGGAAGGCAGCAGGCGCGCAAAUUACCCAAUCCCAACGCGGGGAGGUAGUGACAAGAAAUAACAACAACUAACCUAUUUCAGGUGAGUUGAUUGGAAUGAGUACAAUCUAAACACCUUAACGACUAUCCAUUGGAGGGCAAGCCUGGUGCCAGCAGCCGCGGUAAUUCCAGCUCCAAUAGCGUAUACUAAUGUUGUUGCAGUUAAAAAGCUCGUAGUCGGAUUUCAGUAGGCUCAGUUUAGUCUUCAUUGUAAGAUCUAUAUGGGCCUGCUUCUUUGACAGAAACUUCUAUGUUAUUCAUUUAGCGUGGGCAGCGACUGUCUCUUUUACUUUGAGAAAAUUAGAGUGUUCAAAGCAGGUAGAUGCCUGAAUAUUACUCUUGGAAUAAUGCUAUAAGACUUUGGUUCUAAUGUAUUGGUGAUUGGGACCAGA